CAGGACGAACGCUGGCGGCGUGCCUAAUACAUGCAAGUCGAGCGGACAGAAGGGAGCUUGCUCCCGGAUGUUAGCGGCGGACGGGUGAGUAACACGUGGGUAACCUGCCUGUAAGACUGGGAUAACUCCGGGAAACCGGAGCUAAUACCGGAUAGUUCCUUGAACCGCAUGGUUCAAGGAUGAAAGACGGUUUCGGCUGUCACUUACAGAUGGACCCGCGGCGCAUUAGCUAGUUGGUGAGGUAACGGCUCACCAAGGCGACGAUGCGUAGCCGACCUGAGAGGGUGAUCGGCCACACUGGGACUGAGACACGGCCCAGACUCCUACGGGAGGCAGCAGUAGGGAAUCUUCCGCAAUGGACGAAAGUCUGACGGAGCAACGCCGCGUGAGUGAUGAAGGUUUUCGGAUCGUAAAGCUCUGUUGUUAGGGAAGAACAAGUGCAAGAGUAACUGCUUGCACCUUGACGGUACCUAACCAGAAAGCCACGGCUAACUACGUGCCAGCAGCCGCGGUAAUACGUAGGUGGCAAGCGUUGUCCGGAAUUAUUGGGCGUAAAGGGCUCGCAGGCGGUUUCUUAAGUCUGAUGUGAAAGCCCCCGGCUCAACCGGGGAGGGUCAUUGGAAACUGGGAAACUUGAGUGCAGAAGAGGAGAGUGGAAUUCCACGUGUAGCGGUGAAAUGCGUAGAGAUGUGGAGGAACACCAGUGGCGAAGGCGACUCUCUGGUCUGUAACUGACGCUGAGGAGCGAAAGCGUGGGGAGCGAACAGGAUUAGAUACCCUGGUAGUCCACGCCGUAAACGAUGAGUGCUAAGUGUUAGGGGGUUUCCGCCCCUUAGUGCUGCAGCUA
rnacentral:rRNA from 1 species